rnacentral:rRNA from 1 species
AUUGAACGCUGGCGGCAGGCCUAACACAUGCAAGUCGAACGAGUGGCGGACGGGUGUGUAAUGUCUGUGAAACUGCCUGCUGGAUGGGGAUAACUACUGGAAACGGUAGCUAAUACCGCCUACCAUCGGAUGUGCCCAGAUGGGAUUAGCUAUUAGGUGGGGUAAAGGCUCCCCUAGGCGACGAUCCCUAGCUGGUCUGCGAGGAUGACCAGCCACACUGGAACUGAGACACGGUCCAGACUCCUACGGGAGGCAGCAGUGGGGAAUAUUGCACAAUGGGCGCAAGCCUGAUGCAGCCAUGCCGCGUGUAUGACGAAGGCCUUCGGAUUGUAAAGUACUUUCAGCGGGGAGGCGUUACCCACAGAAGAAGCACCGGCUAACUCCGUGCCAGCAGCCGCGGUAAUAC